UACGGGGGGGGCAAGCGUUGUUCGGAAUUACUGGGCGUAAAGGGUGCGUAGGCGGUCUGUUAAGUUGGAUGUGAAAACUCUGGGCUCAACCCAGAGCUUGCAUCCAAAACUGGCAGGCUAGAGUUCUGGAGGGGGUAGCGGAAUUCCUGGUGUAGCGGUGAAAUGCGUAGAUAUCAGGAGGAACACCGGUGGCGAAGGCGGCUACCUGGACAGAAACUGACGCUGAGGCACGAAAGCUAGGGGAGCAAAC
rnacentral:rRNA from 1 species